UCCCUGGUGGCUCAGCUGUUAAAGAAUCUGCCUGCAAUGUCGGAGACCUGGGUUCAAUUCCUGGCUUGGGAA
rfam:Ovis aries breed Texel chromosome 9, whole genome shotgun sequence.